UUUAAAUGCUUAUUUUUUUGUUGUUUUUGAUCAAUACUGACUAAAGAACAGUAAGAGUGGAUCACGUCCUUGGACACACAUCACACAGAGCAACUUUUACUCUCAACACUCAAUGAAAGGAUCUCGCUGCUGAAUACUCCACCAUUAAACUUCAAAAUUACUGGUCUGGUGGACGCCAGCAUGUUGGAUGAUUUGUAUAAGCAUUGGCUGACCGCCGUAAAGCAUUAUGUUCUGUUUGUGGAGUGGUGACUGAAGAUUAUGGUCAAAUGGCCCUAUCAAUGCUUAGGGGCCUCAACAGAUUUGCUUAUGACAGAGGUGAAUCCGCUCAUCAACUGUCUGGAGAACUCAAAGAUCAGCAUCGCUGGUACCAGGUGGAAGCGAACUGGGCCAAUCAGAACUGAGCUCCAGUGAGCGGCCGUGAUCAUGCUGUGGAGGCCCAAUGGUCGUUGCGUCUGGGGCUUCUACCGCUCGCGGGUGAUGGCAGCAUUAACCUGUGUGACACUGGUUUGCCCCUGCCAGAUGUUUCUGAAUGUGGGCAUCAACUGUCGCCAUUUAGGUUGAAGGAUGUUAUUCCUCUUCUUUCAGUGCGACGGAAGAAAAAGUUGCUACCAGUGAGAAGGCUGUCCUUAUGCACCAAAAUCAUGUCGCAUUUAAUGAAGUAUGCAUUGCAAUUUGUAAGUUGUGAGUAUUUUGUACAAAAGAUCCAUUUGAAAGUCUGAAGAUCAGAAAAAGUGGUCAUAAACAGGUUUUCAGUGAAAUAUGAAAUUUAAAGGUGCCUUCUGCCAAAUGUUAUGAAUAUAAAACAUGUGGUUUUGUUUUGGCACACCACUAAUUAUUCAGUCCUUUGAGUGGGAAGAUCUCACAAAAAUAUGUCCAUGUCAAAUUUCACCAUAAAAUUCCCAAAAAGACAUUAGAUUUCUCAUUAAGAAAACAAAGCCUUAUUUUAGGACCAUUAAGAUUUAUUUGCAUUGUGAGAAAUUACUGAAAUACAAUUAUAUGAUAUCUUUUUGUCUGUUUACAGUGACAAGAAAAAGUAUGAGAACCCUUUGGAAUUAGCGGGUUUUCUGCAUUAAUUGGUCAUAAAAUGUGAUCUUAUCUUCAUCAAAGUCAUAAGUAUAGACAAACACAACAUGCUUAAGCUAACAAUACACAAACAAUUAUACUCUUUCAUGUCUUUAUUGAACACAUCACAUUAAACAUUCACAGUCCUGUUGAAGAAGUAAGAACCCUUGGAUUUAAUAACUGGUCCAAAUCCUCCUUUGGCAACAGUAGCCAAACCAAGUGUUUCUGGUAACUGCGGAUUAGACCUGCACAAUUUUCAGAAGGAAUUUGGAACUAUUCUUCCUUACAGAACUGCUUCAGCUCAGCCAUAUUCUUAUGAUGUCUGGUGUGAAAGGCUCUCUUGAGGUCAUUCUACAGCAU